UUGUGGAGGAGGACGCCGAAGGUGGGGCUGAUGACUGGGGUGAAGUCGUAACAAGGUAUCCGUACCGGAAGGUGCGGAUGGAUCACCUCCUAACAGGGAGACAACACAAUGAUUUUGAUGUCUGAGUAUUUUAAUUCUUAGGCCGAAAUCCUGUCACCUUAGGUCGAUCGGUACCUCAAGUUGAGAAUCUAAGAAAAGCUGAGUAAUCAGCUUGGAGAUUGAUGAUUGAUUUUAGUUCCUAAACUUGUCUAGGUCACACCCCGCAAGGGUUACUCCUGGGCCAUUAGCUCAGGUGGUUAGAGCGCACCCCUGAUAAGGGUGAGGUCCCUGGUUCAAGUCCAGGAUGGCCCAUUCGAUGUUUGGGGGUAUAGCUCAGUUGGUAGAGCGCCUGCUUUGCAAGCAGGAUGUCAGCGGUUCGAGUCCGCUUACCUCCACUGAUCAAUCUCCCUAACUACGAAAUUAUCGGGAUUAUUCUUGUUUGAUGUGAUUUAGAGUUGUUUUAUAUGAAUUUGACCCUAGCCUCCUAUCUUUCCACAUUUAAUUCAUAAAAUUAGAUUUGGUUGAUAAGAUGCUGGGCUCUACUAGUGAAUCUAAAUGUAUUCCUAGAAGUUCAGUAGAACCUUGACAACUGCAUAGGUAAGUCUGGAAAAGAGAAUUAAAGCAUCUCAUAGAAGUAUUGUUCGUAAAAUUAGAAAUUCUAAUUUUCGAAUAAUUAUCAAUUCUUGAGCAAGAGCAAAUACUCUAUUAAUUAUUUAGGUUUAAAACCUUCAUUAAUUAAUAGAGAUAAUGGUCAAGCUACAA
rnacentral:misc_RNA from 1 species